AAAUGACUUUAGGGCAUUGUAUUGGAAUCUUAUGUGCCAUACCAGCUCAAAGCAGUGCAUAAUUGUGAAAGGGAAUAAAAGUGAUAUGUCCAUUUUUAUUCAGUCCCUCCUAAGCAUGGCUUUUAGGUUAUUUGUUUACUUUUUCCCCAUUUUUCUUGGCAAAAUAGCUCAAGAUCAGUAAGAUUGGAUGGAGAGUGUCUGUCCACCUCAAAACUGUGUGUCAAUUCAAAGUACCCUACAGCCUUUGUAGCAUUGUAGGAAGGUGCAACGUUAAUCUUCCUUCAUUAAUAGUGUUUUGCAUGUAGGUCACAUGUUUUGAUCUCAAGAGUAAUGAACUUUCUUACAUACCAACACACAUGGAUUACAUUGACAUAUUCAUGGUUGAGACAAGUAAAAAAAAUUUCAUCUGUGUAGUCGUCCCAUACAUAGGGUGCAAGGCAAAAUUCCCUUUGGAAUCAGGUGCUUUUAUAUGCAGAAGAGUCCCGUCAUUGAAACCUUAGAGUCAAGCUAGAAAGGGAUAACAGUCUCUUCCCUUUGACAGUAGAGUUACUGAGCAUCCCUGGUAAGCAGAGACAGGAGCUGAAACUUGAUCAGUUCUGUGGCCUUUUUGGGGAAAUAACUGUGAGACCAGAGCUUGUUAUCCUCCUUAGUGCACCCUGUGGAUUUGGCUCUUACAAUAUAUGAAUGAAGAAUGCAUGAAGAAUUGUCUGUAGUUGCAGAAUUAAACACCUGUUGCACAAAAUUAUCCUACAAUUAGUGAAUCCUGCAUAGACUCACACAUUUUUGAUACCAAAGUAAUUUAGGUCAGUCAGGAGAAUAAGCUGUGACUGAAUGAUUUUCUGCUUCUUGUCAUUACCAUCCUAACCAUGUUUGGCUGCCUUCCAUCUCAUUUGUUCACCAUGUUGUCUGACUAACACAAAUUGGUAACAGCAGAGAUCUUUAGAAGAAUAAGAACUAUUUGAAACCACAAGCUAACCUCUAGGUCAUUAAAAUGUAUUUUUAUUUUGACUAGGUGGAGCAUCAGUGUCUCACUGUUUUAGAAUUGCCUUUUAAAAGUGGUCACACUCCUUGAUAUAGAAAGGACAGCAUUUUAUGUAAUUUAUUGGCAUUAUAUGGUACAAAUCAACACAAAGUGAUGAAUGUUUAUGAAUGGAUGGAAAAAUGCAUGCUUUAUAAAAUUGUUUACAAAUAAAAAUCUUAAAAUAAUUAUGCAUGUUUGUUUUCAUGUCCAUAUUUAGCUGCAAGUGUUUUGGGCAUAUCUCAGCCAGCUUUGCAUUGUGCUUUUCAAAAUAAUAGAAUCUUAUGUCUGAUGGGAUUGAACAUUUGUUAACAGCAAUUUCCAGCUCUUCCUGUUUAUUCUCAAAUGGACAUUGGCCUGGGCUUUGACUGACUAUUCUAGCACAUGGAUAUGCUAUAAUUUAAACUGUUUCCUUAAAGCUCUGGUUUAAGGAAACAGAGCUUAAGCUUAAGAUGAGAAGAUGCGUCUGUUCAUCCUUCAUCUUCUCAUCUUAAAGCCAGUCAAGCCCACAAGUAUAUUCUAGCAUCUUAAUCCUGCUGGAUGGUGAACCAUGCCUCAUUUGAUUUGCAGACUCUAACAUGAUUUCUUCCAGAAUAUAAUAUACUAGCAUCCUUUUUCAUUUAUUGUGUGGAUUUUUUGCAGCUUUCUGCUCAACAUAAUAUGCAUGUAGACCAAAAAUCUCCAGUUUGGUGUCACCAGACCAAAACAGACUCUUACAGUUCUGUCUUUCUUCUCGCCAGUCGUCAUUUACGAUUUCCCUUUUGAGAAAUUCUUCCAGCUGAACUGUAGAUCUCUGCAGCUUCUUCCAAACAGCUUUUCUCGUUAAUGCUGUCCUUGUUCAGCUCGUCAUUUUAAGAAGAUGACCUUGGGUUUGCAGUUCAGUGACACACUCUGGGGACUGAAUGAGAUUCUUGGCAGGAUACACUGUGGAGCAUCAGGACAUUUAGUUUUCUUGUGUAAAAGCAAUGAGAGGUAAAGAAACAAAAUGUGUCUGACUCUUUAAUAUAUUCUGAAUGCUACUUGUGUUUUCAUGAGAUUUGACACCAAACACUCCCAGUUCAGCACUGACUCAACAUUAGAACUUGACCUCUUACCCCAACACCAAACACAACAGCAGCUUGUUUCACCUCAUGACGGGAAUAUGUGGGAGAUGCUGCUGUCACUUCAAUAAAAGUCCAAGGAGGGGAGCUCACUUACUUCAUGGCCUUUUUUCGACUGCUUGUAAAAAUCAGCCGAUAUUUAAAAAGGGAGCAGACGCUGUAAUUUGCUGUUUCUGCGAGAGCCGGUGUUAUGCCUUCGGAGGGGACAGCGGUUGUCAUUGGCGCUGCUCCGUGCUCUCAUUUAGAUUUAGGCGCCAUGACAUAAAAAGAAAAAACACCGGGUUUUUUUUCCCACAGCAAACGUCACCCACAAUUGUGCUAUAAUGAGUGCACACAAGCCCUCCUUGAUGCUGUGGUUAUUGUUUUUAGUUUUUAGUCACACUCAUAGUCAUAACUUCCCUGAAGCUAUUCCAUGUCUUUAAUAAGACUUUCCUUUAAUAGGAAAUUGUCUGCGGUUACUCUCUUGCCUCGUAUAAAUGUAUAGGACUUAGAUUACUUUAACUUAUUUGUUACACUUUGAUAGUUCUUUUUGUCAUAGAGGUAUGACCACAAUAUACCAGAUGAGUUUGUUUGUUGUUACAGUUUGUGGAUCUUACAGUGAACCUCAGGGAAUUACAAAUCUCUGUACUUAUGAGGUUCAGUAAUCUGGUUGCACCUCUGCUAAGUUGUCUUUUGUAGGAGUCCUUUUCAAAAGUGGUUCAACUCGAUGAGGUUAUUAGGACAUGUUUUGCUCACAAGCUUCUAUGUUUCCUCAGUAUGUUGUCAUGUGUUGCAGAACCUGUUAAUCACUCAUUCAGGUGGAUGGCAGUAGGGAAAUACUGCCAUCCACCUGAGUUGCCAGAGUUGCCAGAGUUGCCAGAGUUGGAUGCCACUGGUCUACAGGAUAUGCCCCCCAGUAAAUGUGGAAAAUGUUUUGAAAUAUUUGGUCAUGUAGUCAGCUUUUACAUUAUACUCUGGCACAUUAUACUCACAUGGGCGUGAACAAAUUUCCGAGCAACUCUUGCCCAGGAAAGUAUGGAAAGUGUAGGGUGCAUAGUGGUGGUGUAUUUUCACCACCACUGUGCAUAUAUGAUGACAUGUAAGAUACAUCUCACUAUAAUUCCUUUUUAUACAGAGAUCAGAGCACAUCCCGAUCCAGAAACAGGUUUUCCUUGGUCAGAUUAUAAGGAUACAUGGUUGUUAAUAAAAUCAGCUUCUCCCAUUCCUUUAAACUCCUUAUUCUAUUCUCUGAUUUAGUUAUUUUUUCCCCGUCAAUUUACAGCACCGGUAGUGUCCUUACAUAAGUCAUUAUUACAUUGAAAAAGUAUUUAAAAAAUCAUCCCAUUUCUGGUGUCAGGUUAGCUCUUGGUGUAGUUAUCUCAUUUUCUUUUAAUUUUUCAUUUUCUUUGCCCACAAACCAUUAGUGCUGUGAUUAGCAUGUUGAAUUCUCCUUAGAUGACACAUGCAGAUGGCUUGUUGAGUAUUCCUGUCACUCAAAUAUUCAGAUACACAAAAAAAUAAAGGCCAUUAUAUUUGUUUUGUUCUUGAUGCUCGCAUUCUUUCAAGUAUGAUAACCUGAUUGCAUCUCGUUGCAGCAUAUGGUUUGCAGCAGAUUCUUUGCUCCGUUUUACACAUGAAUGAAAUGCUGCCUUCAGACGCCGAUGAUUUUGUUUAUUAGCCUUCCCUCUCAGACCUCCCAGCUGGCUGCCGGUUUCAUUCCAACAUUCAAAACUACACUUGAGUUCUUCACAAUUUAUAAAAAUGCUCCACAAACUCUUUACUAAUUAUUCUACCCUUGACUCAGCCCCAGAAAUAUUUCUGUGAAUUUUCUUUCAGCUUCCUCCAGUUUAAGUCUCAAGCAAGAAUGAAAAUAGAGUGGGCUGGCGGUUUUCAGUACAGAAUGCGUCUGUUCAUCCUUCAUCUUCUCAUCUUGCAGCCAGUCAAGCCCACAAGUAUAUUCUAGCAAUUUUGGUUCUUUAGCAUUUCCUGACAAAAGUUCUGUGAACAACAAAGACGAUUUUGUCUGUGUGGGUUUAUUAGCUUGUGGGAGCCCCUGUCUCUGACCCCUGAGGUAUGUUAGAAGCAUUUCCAAGUCAGAACAGAAACUGACUCAGGAUUACUGUUCUCAAGAGCCCUGAAAAGCCAGUUGUCUGUUCUGCAGAAGAGAACAGGACUCUGGCUGUGUGCACCUUUCAAAUCAAGCAUGUUGUGGUUUCUCUAAACCGCUUUCUAUCUUUUCUCAACUCACACAGCAGUUGUGGGGCAAAAUAAAAGACCCCUAACCUUUACCCUUCAUUUAUGUUUUUGUCCGGCUCUUGUAAAAUGUUUUAAACCUAUAAAUUCCUCUUUCAUUGCAUAAUUAAGCACUGUUAGUCUAUCACACAAAAUCCCAAUAAACUGCACUGUUUAUAACGUGAAAAAUUCAAACCAUGAAUACUUUUCCAUGGCUCCACAUAUAAUGAACAUUCUAUCAUUCAUUCUAUAAAUUGUUUCCUUUAUAUGUCUGAAAUGUUUUGCUUUCAUUGUAUUUAUCAUCAGAUGUACAUGUCUGCUAGUAAACUUGCUCAAACUGCAUCUCUUUUCUUAACAUUUUGAUGUAAUUGUGUUUUUCUCAAAUUGAGAUGAGUUACUAAAACUGGAAACUGACAGAUUUUGCGUCAGCAGGCCUGGCAACCAGUGAGACAUCAGACAGAAACCAGUGGCAUGCCUAGCUGACCAGAGGACAAAAUCAUGUGACAAAAGAGAUGCCAAGAAAUACUAAAUCAUGUAUGUAAGAAAUUGCUAACAAAUGUUGCUGUCAAACAACACUUGGUGGGGAAUCAGCAGAGCUGUGAGAAGGUCCAAUGUUAACAGCCUCAACAAGCCUCCUUUUUACUGACAAAUAGCAUGUUCUUCUUCACAUUUAUCAAACUUGCUUUAUGAUUUACUACUGUACUACUGUGUUUGAUAUCCACCAGGUUCUCUAAAAAGCACCUUAAAAUCUCUAAAGGCAUUUUUGUUGUUUAAAAAAGUUCAUUGUAGCAUAUUUAUUAAAAAGACUGUUUUUGAUAUUUGCCAGGAAUAUGU